UACGGAGGGUGCAAGCGUUGUCCGGAUUUACUGGGCGUAAAGGAUGCGUAGGCGGAUGUUUAAGUGAGAUGUGAAAUACCCGAGCUCAACUUGGGUGCUGCAUUUCAAACUGGAUAUCUAGAGUGCAGGAGAGGAAAGCGGAAUUCCUAGUGUAGCGGUGAAAUGCGUAGAGAUUAGGAAGAACACCAGUGGCGAAGGCGGCUUUCUGGACUGUAACUGACGCUGAGGCAUGAAAGCGUGGGGAGCAAACAGG
rnacentral:rRNA from 1 species